GAUUUAUUUUAUUCAUUCUGGGGGCUUUCACAGCUUUAUGGCUGUUGGAUAUUUAUGUCCCCAAACUUGCAGCAAGUUUGGUGAAGGCCCCUAAAUUUAUUUUAAUUUAGGUUUUUUUAUUCUCUUUUGGUAGAUGGGCUCUAUAUUAAUAUUUAUCUUUUUAUUAUGGCUGUGUUUUUAAGAGUCUUAAGGGGAGGGAACCUGUUUUAAGAUGUGUGGGUACUUUUUCUCUUAAUGGAAUGCAUUUCCUGCAAGGCUGCUCAGGUAGUCCUUAAGACACACUGCCCCUCCCCAUCUUUCCCUGCAUUGCGUUUGUGCUGUAUUUGUUUUUGGGUUUGGUAGUGUUCAUUUUGUGUAGUCUCUGAAUUAGUGGCAUGUAAAUACCAAUUAUUGUUUUCUCUUCUGAGGAUAUGUAUCUAUUGAAAAGCUUAAAAUAGAUUUGAACUAGUAAGUUAAUUGCUACAAAAAUUUGUAGCCCCAAUUACAGAAUACAGUUUCUUUGAAGAAGGUUAAGAUGUUAAUACUGCUGUGUUUGUAAGCUGCACCUCAACAAAUAUUAAUGUAGAGCCCUGCGAAGAAAUAGAGAUCAGAUCCAAGUUGAUAACACAGAGAGUGAGAAAUCAAAGCUGCAGAUUUUUCAGCUUGCCAGUUUCAGGGAGAACCUUUUCCUCAAUCUCUUUCCUCAGUUCAGGGAGAACUUUUUCCUCCAUCUCAAAUAUGUCAAAUUCGAGGAUGUUUUGACUAUUGCAACAAUAGUAAGAGUUGAAAAACUUUUCUUUUAAACCUUGAGAGAUUCUGUUGCAUGUUCAAAAUUAGCUUUAUUUGAAGUUCCUUCUUUCACGUGGUGCCUAGCAAAAAUUUCUACCCUUUGUGAAGAAAAAGGUGUUCAUUCUGUUGCAGAUCCAUUGUUUAUGAAUGCUUGAGGUUGCUUAAAGAAGGCUUCAGAACAGCAGGUUUUGCCUAAGGAGGUCUUGCAGCAUACCAGCAGUGAAAUAGUAAAUAAACAAAUGUGGGAGUCUGGUUUGACUUCUUUUUUUUUUUUUUUUUUUUUAAGUUUUUGAGAUAUUUUUCAAGUUUGUGGUCAGGCUUUUUUAUGAGCAUAGUUGUUUUUCUUCAAGAUUUUGCUUAAUGAUGACCCCUAAUGGGAUUUCAAGUAAUUUUAAUUCAAGGAGAGAGUUGUAAUUAACUUAGAGUGUAUUGCACAUUGCUGUUGUACCCUUCUUUGUUUGUACUCUGCCCUUUGCAUUUUUCCUGUAGAAGGCCCCCCACAAAAUCCCUGUCUGACUGGAAAAUUGACAUGUCCAUGUUAACUGUUUCAGAAUGGUUACUGAGCAUGGUCUUGCUUUGCUAAUUCUCAUUGUGGUGCUCCCCCUGAUAACAGUGAAGAUGAGAACAAGUCUUCAAGAUAAACUACUGCAACCAGGACUUCUUUCACUUGCUUAAUUUAUAGGAUCAUUUGGCUUAAUUCUUUUUUCCCUGGAAUGUCUAACAAAAGUGUUUGACUCAAAAUAAUACAUUGUGGGGCUUGUAUUUCUUGCUUAAAGUAUCUUAAUCUCUUAGAGUCUCAAAAUAAAAAUUCCUCUUUAUUUUGAGGGAUGAAGUAUGGUUCUUAGUUAUGUUCCAGUAUUGCAGCUCUCAUUGCAGCAGUUUGUGUAUCACAAAGUUGGACAUCUUGCUGUUAGUGAAAUUUUUUUACUAAAGUGGAUGGUAUUUCAGUGACAUGAAUUUUAUAGAUAUUAACAAAAUGUGGUCUUGCAGUUCAGGUUUUUUAAGCUUAAGUAGGGGCACAUAACUUUUUUAAAGGAGCAGGAGUUACUGAUACUCUGCUAAAUUGGGUAAAUUUGUACCUGAUCUGUUAAACAAGAAAAGUAACUUGAGAUGUGGUAAAUAAAGUACAUACCGCACAUGAUGACCUUUUUAAAAAAUCUGUAUGCUUGCAACCAAAAUAAUCAGACCAGGGAAACAGUGGUAGUGACUGGGUUCUGUAAGAAUGCAGCUGCCUGUGACUGCUGUUCUGUCUGUCAUGGUUGGGCUAGGUUGGAAGUAGUUCAGAGGAAAGAAAGUUUUGGGACAGCCAUUUAAGGGAUCAAGAGGAAUCAAAGUGUAAAUUGUAAUGUAUAUAAAAGUUCUUUCUGAAGUUCUGAAAAACACUUGGUGAGAGGUUUCUGGCACACUGUAAGCAGCAACAUAGUGCAGUGUUGAUUGCCAGAGCACAGAUUCCCAGUAAGGCUGUGCUAAAGCAAAUGCAGUUUUACUGCAGCCUUGUGCAGGUGUGGCUGAGGGGGCUGAGCGCUGGAGCCUGCUGCUCUGGCAGCCAGCCAUAUCCUGUCCUGAACCACAGGAUCCAGGGUGUUAUCCUCAAGCCGUUUGUUCCUGGCAUCCUGCUGAGUCAGUUUUGACUGUCCCUGGUGUGAAUAAUUUUCAGGCUUGGUACUUACAUACCUGGACACUGUUGUGAAUAGUGAGGCCCUUGUAUCUUCUGAACAAGUUUACAAUAACCUCCUAAAUUCUUGCGUGUUUUCCCAGUAGGGACAGUCAGCAACACUGCUGUUUUAAUGGCAGUGAAUUUGACUGCUGCAGAAAUACUGUCUUGAACUUACUGACCUUAAGGUUUUUCUUUCUUGAGGAUAUAAAGAAGUGAAAAAGUUUUGAGAAAAUAGUAGAAUUUUAAUGCCAGUACCAUCUUAACUAAAAGCAAAGAAGCACAUGACAUUGAGAACUUGAAAGCUUCCUUAUAAAUUCUCUUGUUAGCAGUUAGUAUGUCUCUCUGGCAGCUGACUGCCUUAUACAAGGUUCAAGCUUCUGACAUCUUAAACUUUUUUCCCUUAAGUUUUCUCUUAAAUCUCUACCAUAUUCAGAAAGGGGGCAUGGGUUGUAAAAUUUCAGUUUCUGCUGCUCAUAGUAGCCAAUAUGUAGAACUGAUUUUUGCUAACAGCAAUUUUAAUUACCUGAAAUGAAUGCUGUACAGCCAAAGGAAACUUACAUCAUCUCCUAACGUAGGAAGUUACGUAAUGCUUUGAGAUGAAGAUGUCAUGCAGAGCUUUUUUUCUUUUCUCAUUUUUUCACUGACUUACUUGCACUGAAUUCUCUAGCUUCUUUCUUAUAAAUUUAAGUGGGAAAAAAUACAUUUUCCUCUUUCACUUGUAAAGUCGAGAGUAAGAAAAUACACUUUAAGACUUUAAUGAAGGAACCUGGCGAUGUAAGUAUUUUAAUUUCCUUUAUGUUUUCAGUAGGCUACAGGUGACCUUGUUACACUUAUGGGUUAUGUAUGAAAAAUCAGAAGGACAAAUUGAAAGUAGUUUCAUAGUUGCCUUUACUUCACAUGCUUUUCUUAAGCAACAAAUUGCAGUAAUUGAAGUUUGGCAGCUUUUUUUUUUAAUAAAAAAACUAAAUUAUGGGUAAAACACCUUGGUUUAAUACAAUUUGUGUUUCUGUUAACUAGCAGCAGAAUUUCAGCAUUUGCUACUUACUGGUAGAGAAGAAAAAUUCCACAGAACUGCCAGUACAGGUAUACAAGAAUAAAAGGGAUGCCUUGUUGUGAGGCCAUUACCCUGUCAGCAGAAUGUGUCUGUAUUUCUUACACCAUCUGUGGUUGACCCUAGCUGAUGCUAGCAUUAAUGCAAUGCUCAGUACUAAGCUGGAGUGAGUAAAUGCUUUUGGCUGCUCAGUUACCUUGUCAUGUCCUGGUGUUGGCACUGGCUGGAUGCAGACCUGCACUACUUGUUCACUGGCCUGGCAGUCAGUGGGGUUAACUAAAGGCCAGAGUGUGUUCCAUAGUGUCUUAACAAAAAAAAAAGUGCAUUUCUCCAGGAUAGAUCGUAGUAGAACUCUGGUAGAAAGACAUCUCUUUGUGAAACUUUAAAUGGCAGUUACUUACGGCACUUUUUGGUAGAAUAAAGUUCAUUUUCUUUUGAGAUAGGACCAAAACAAGACUGGAAAUCUGAACUUUGAUUACCAGGUAUACAGUGUUAAAAUUGUAGCUCAACUUCUGACACACCAUUAGAGCAGCUGUCCAUUGUAAAGUGGUUCAGCAGUCUUCCCUCCCAGUUCUGGUACUGUGCAUUUGGAACAGUUUGUAAUUUCCCACUAUUUCCUUAGACUCCUUGCUGACUCCCAAUUGCCCUUUUAGAGUUUCUGGUCACUGUGCAGUAAAUUCAAAAUGAGCAAAGCUGUUUUUAAUACCUUCGUAAAGGACCUUUAAUUAAGCACAUGAGUGAAUAGUGUCCCCUCUCGGUAGCAGUAUGGCCACAGAAGUGUGUUGUGAAGGGGUUUUUUCUGUAACUUGAUACUGCUUUUGUAUUAAGUGGUAUGAAAGGGCUGGGAUUACUGAUCUUUUUCGAAAGACAGGUGGUGGCAAAAUACUGAUGUUGAAUUUAAUUCAAGAAAGUGAAAGACUGGUAAGUAUGUGCAUCACUUUAAUGCAUGCAAAUAAUAGUAACAAUAACAAGCUUAAUUUUAUAGCAUUCAGUUUACAAAGAAGAUAAAAUACGGAGCUGACAUCAUUUGCAUCCACUGGGAACCCUCUCUGAACUGUUCUUCAAGAAUGGGUCAUUGCACAUACAGCCAUCUGUAAUGUGUGACAUUUUGUAACAGUGUCUGAUUAAACAGAAGUGAACCAC